GGCGCCCACGGAUAUCCCAGUCAGGAGCCAGAGCCCGACCCGUGAUAAAUUCCCCAGGUGUGGGUGGCAAACCAAACAUGCUGGAGAUUGGCGGCCCAUGGAGAUCAUCUGCUCUUUUCAUCAAGGUGAAAAAGACUUUCCAGAUGGCUCACUAUAGAAGAUGCAGUUCUAAGAAGAAGAAUAAACUAUCUCAUUCAGGCAUUGUUACAUUUGUUUAAAUAUUGCCCACUGGUAAUAAACACACAAGACUAAUGUUGUAAAUCUCUUACACAAAGUCUUGUCUCCUU